AUAACUUAAAACCAAAAUUAUUAAAUCAGCAUUUUCACAUGUCAUGAAUACUGCUUUUUUCAUUGUUUUCCCAUUCUUUUCAUCCCCCACAUAAAACACAUAGUCUCCCCCGGGUGCCCACCCACUCAGCGCAUGCGCAGCGCAUCACUGUGCAUAAAAUGCUGCGCAUGACCUUUUUGGCCCCUUUUGCCUCCCGUAGCCGCGAUUGCGCAACCCGGAAGAGAGACGCAACAGAAACGCAACGAGACGAACAAACACAAACACAAACGGACACACAGCGCAAUCUCCCGUGUGCACCCGGUAGAUCGGCUGGUGGAGUGAAGAUCUUUGCAUGCAGACAAGGUUAGCGAACAGGACAGGCCAGGACGGGACAGUACCAGAUCCGGAUAUUCCUCCUUGGAUUAUGAGAUGAAACACCUUGAUAUGGAGAGCAAUAUUAGCGCACCAUCUGGUGGGUGGCGUCCUUCGCUGUUGACUAAUAUUUCUCCAUAGAAAAAUAUAGAGCAGAGGCGUAGCGAUGUGAAGGACGUGCAGAAGGAGGAGAGGAGGAACGAAUGGAGCGAAUGAGGGGGGCAAAGGAGGUAAAAUCUGUGCCUUCGGUCUGAAAGCUUGGCAACACGUGCAGCAAAUAAAUUCAUCACCCAG